CUCAGAUAAGUCAUCGGAGACAAUGACAAGAGUUGUCGGAACUUUAGGAUACUUGGCACCAGAAUACGCUGAAUGUGGCAAAGUGUCAACCAAGACAGAUGUUUAUUCUUUUGGAGUUGUGCUGUUGCAGCUAAUCACUGGAAUGAAGACCACAGACAAAAGACUUGGAGGGAAAAGCCUUGUUGGAUGGGUAAAACUCUUGAUAUCUGAAUAAAUUAUUAACUAUAUGAAAGAUAUAUACUCGUAUCUGAAACUAACCUGGAUCCGGAUAAUGAAAACUAUGGCCACCUAUCACAUAGCUAAGUUGUGCAGUGCCUUAAAUAACUCCAGCAGCUGAAGUGUAACACCAAGAAAAUGAGUAACACAUAGAAAGGUCAGAAAG
rnacentral:lncRNA from 1 species